GAGAUAGCUGGUUCUCUCCGAAAUAGCUUUAGGGCUAGCCUCAAGUGAUGAUUAUUGGAGGUAGAGCACUGUUUGGACGAGGGGCCCCUCUCGGGUUACCGAAUUCAGACAAACUCCGAAUGCCAAUUAAUUUAACUUGGGAGUCAGAACAUGGGUGAUAAGGUCCGUGUUCGAAAGGGAAACAGCCCAGACCACCAGCUAAGGUCCCAAAAUAUAUGUUAAGUGGAAAAGGAUGUGGCGUUGCCCAGACAACUAGGAUGUUGGCUUAGAAGCAGCCAUCAUUUAAAGAGUGCGUAAUAGCUCACUAGUCGAGUGACACUGCGCCGAAAAUGUACCGGGGCUAAACAUAUUACCGAAGCUGUGGAUUGUCCUUUGGACAAUGGUAGGAGAGCGUUCUAAGGGCGUUGAAGCAUGAUCGUAAGGACAUGUGGAGCGCUUAGAAGUGAGAAUGCCGGUGUGAGUAGCGAAAGACGGGUGAGAAUCCCGUCCACCGAUUGACUAAGGUUUCCAGAGGAAGGCUCGUCCGCUCUGGGUUAGUCGGGUCCUAAGCUGAGGCCGACAGGCGUAGGCGAUGGAUAACAGGUUGAUAUUCCUGUACCACCUAUAAUCGUUUUA
rnacentral:rRNA from 1 species